rnacentral:rRNA from 1 species
UAUUGGACAAUGGGCGAAAGCCUGAUCCAGCAAUGCCGCGUGAGUGAUGAAGGCCUUAGGGUUGUAAAGCUCUUUUACCCGGGAUGAUAAUGACAGUACCGGGAGAAUAAGCUCCGGCUAACUUCGUGCCAGCAGCCGCGGUAAUACGUAGGGUGCGAGCGUUAAUCGGAAUUACUGGGCGUAAAGCGUGCGCAGGCGGUUAUAUAAGACAGAUGUGAAAUCCCCGGGCUCAACCUGGGACCUGCAUUUGUGACUGUAUAGCUAGAGUACGGUAGAGGGGGAUGGAAUUCCGCGUGUAGCAGUGAAAUGCGUAGAUAUGCGGAGGAACACCGAUGGCGAAGGCAAUCCCCUGGACCUGUACUGACGCUCAUGCACGAAG